rnacentral:rRNA from 1 species
GNUNGUUGGUAGGGUAACGGCCUUACCAAGUCAGUGAUCUUUAGGGGGCCUGAGAGGGUGAUCCCCCACACUGGUACUGAGACACGGACCAGACUCCUACGGGAGGCAGCAGUGAGGAAUAUUGGACAAUGGGUGAGAGCCUGAUCCAGCCAUCCCGCGUGAAGGACGACGGCCCUAUGGGUUGUAAACUUCUUUUGUAUAGGGAUAAACCUUUCCACGUGUGGGAAGCUGAAGGUACUAUACGAAUAAGCACCGGCUAACUCCGUGCCAGCAGCCGCGGUAAUACGGAGGGUGCAAGCGUUAUCCGGAUUUAUUGGGUUUAAAGGGUCCGUAGGCGGAUCUGUAAGUCAGUGGUGAAAUCUCACAGCUUAACUGUGAAACUGCCAUUGAUACUGCAGGUCUUGAGUAAAGUAGAAGUGGCUGGAAUAAGUAGUGUAGCGGUGAAAUGCAUAGAUAUUACUUAGAACACCAAUUGCGAAGGCAGGUCACUAUGUUUUAACUGACGCUGAUGGACGAAAGCGUGGGGAGCGAACAGGAUUAGAUACCCUGGUAGUCCACGCCGUAAACGAUGCUAACUCGUUUUUGGGCUUUAGGGUUCAGAGACUAAGCGAAAGUGAUAAGUUAGCCACCUGGGGAGUACGUUCGCAAGAAUGAAACUCAAAGGAAUUGACGGGGGCCCGCACAAGCGGUGGAUUAUGUGGUUUAAUUCGAUGAUACGCGAGGAACCUUACCAAGGCUUAAAUGGGAAUUGAUCGGUUUAGAAAUAGACCUUCCUUCGGGCAAUUUUCAAGGUGCUGCAUGGUUGUCGUCAGCUCGUGCCGUGAGGUGUUAGGUUAAGUCCUGCAACGAGCGCAACCCCUGUCACUAGUUGCCAUCAUUAAGUUGGGGACUCUAGUGAGACUGCCUACGCAAGUAGAGAGGAAGGUGGGGAUGACGUCAAAUCAUCACGGCCCUUACGCCUUGGGCCACACACGUAAUACAAUGGCCGGUACAGAGGGCAGCUACACAGCGAUGUGAUGCAAAUCUCGAAAGCCGGUCUCAGNNNNNAUUGGAGUCUGCAACUCGACUCUAUGAAGCUGGAAUCGCUAGU